CCUACGGGUGGCAGCAGUGGGGGAUAUUGCACAAUGGGGGGAACCCUGAUGCAGCGACGCCGCGUGAGCGAAGAAGUACCUCGGUAUGUAAAGCUCUAUCAGCAGGGAAGAAAAUGACGGUACCUGACUAAGAAUCCACGGCUAAAUACAUGCCAGCAGCCGCGGUAAUACGUAGGGGGCAAGCGUUAUCCGGAUUUACUGGGUGUAAAGGGAGCGCAGGCGGCCUGCCAAGUCUGGUGUGAAAACCCGGGGCCCAACCCCGGCGCUGCAUUGGAUACUGGCGGGCUGGAGUGUCGGAGGGGCAGGCGGAAUGGCUGGUGUAGCGGUGAAAUGCAUAGAUAUUAGGAGGAACACCGGUGGCGAAGGCGGCCUGCCAGACGAUGACUGACGCUGAGGCUCGAAAGCGUGGGGAGCAAACAGGAUUAGAUACCCUGGUAGUC
rnacentral:rRNA from 1 species